UAGGGAAUCUUCCACAAUGGGCGAAAGCCUGAUGGAGCAACGCCGCGUGUGUGAUGAAGGGUUUCGGCUCGUAAAACACUGUUGUAAGAGAAGAAUGACAUUGAGAGUAACUGUUCAAUGUGUGACGGUAUCUUACCAGAAAGGAGCGGACUAAAUACGUGCCAG
rnacentral:rRNA from 1 species